rnacentral:rRNA from 1 species
AGAAAUCCGCUAACAGAUGGGCUUGCGUCUGAUUAGCUAGUUGGUGUGGUAACGGCAUACCAAGGCAACGAUCAGUAGCCGGACUGAGAGGUUGGACGGCCACAUUGGGACUGAGACACGGCCCAGACUCCUACGGGAGGCAGCAGUGGGGAAUAUUGCACAAUGGAGGGAACUCUGAUGCAGCGAUGCCGCGUGAGGGAAGAAGGUUUUAGGAUUGUAAACCUCUGUCUUCAGGGACGAAAAAAUGACGGUACCUGAGGAGGAAGCUCCGGCUAACUAC